CGGGACGGGUGAGUAAUGUAUGGGGAUCUGCCUGAUGGGCGGGGAUAACUACUGGAAACGGUAGCUAAUACCGCAUAAUGUCUACGGACCAAAGCGGGGGACCUCCGGGCCUCGCGCCAUCAGAUGAACCCAUAUGGGAUUAGCUUGUAGGUAAGGUAACGGCUUACCUAGGCGACGAUCCCUAGCUGGUCUGAGAGGAUGAUCAGCCACACUGGGACUGAGACACGGCCCAG
rnacentral:rRNA from 1 species